rnacentral:rRNA from 1 species
UACGUAGGGGGCAAGCGUUGUCCGGAUUUAUUGGGCGUAAAGAGCGUGUAGGCGGCUUGGCAAGUCUGCUGUGAAAACUCGAGGCUCAACCUCGAGCUGUCGGUGGAAACUGCCUGGCUAGAGUCCGGAAGAGGAGAGUGGAAUUCCUGGUGUAGCGGUGGAAUGCGCAGAUAUCAGGAGGAACACCGGUGGCGAAGGCGGAUCUCUGGGCCUGUCCUGACGCUGAGGCGCGAAAGCUAGGGGAGCGAACAGG